ensembl:rRNA 5S_rRNA 5S ribosomal RNA
ACCAGCAGCCAUAUCACUCUGCAACUCACAAAUGGCAACCCACUGAAGCUAAGCAGGGGUGAGCCUAGUCAGUACCUGGAUGUGAGACCUCCUGGGAAAAACUAAGGUUGCUGCUGGAA